rnacentral:rRNA from 1 species
GUCCACGCCCUAAACGAUGUAUAUUAGGCAUUGGAAGUAUCGACCCUUUCAGUGUCGUAGCUAACGCGUUAAAUAUACCGCCUGGGAAGUACGGCCGCAAGGCUAAAACUCAAAGGAAUAGACGGGGAUCCGCACAAGUAGAGGAUCAUGUGGUUCAAUUCGACGAUAAGCGAGGAACCUCACCAGGGGUUUGAAACUAAGCUGCACGGCUCAGAAAUGAGUCAGCCUUCGAGGGUGCUUAGCAGGUGCUGCAUGGUUGUCGU